rnacentral:rRNA from 1 species
CCUACGGGAGGCAGCAGUUAGGAAUAUUGGGCAAUGGAGGAAACUCUGACCCAGCAACGCCGCGUGAAGGAAGAAGGUUUUCGGAUUGUAAACUUCUGAUCUGUGGGACGAAGAAAGUGACGGUACCACAGGAGAAAGCCACGGCUAACUACGUGCCAGCAGCCGCGGUAAUACGUAGGUGGCGAGCGUUGUCCGGAAUAACUGGGUGUAAAGGGCGUGUAGGCGGGGAGGCAAGUCAGAUGUGAAAACCACGGGCUCAACCUGUGGCCUGCAUUUGAAACUGUUUUUCUUGAGUGCUGGAGAGGCAAUCGGAAUUCCGGGUGUAGCGGUGAAAUGCGUAGAUAUACGGAGGAACACCAGUGGCGAAGGCGGAUUGCUGGACAGUAACUGACGCUGAGGCGCGAAAGCGUGGGGAGCAAACAGGAUUAGAUACCCGGGUAGUC